GAUGAAGAACGUAGUGAAAUGCGAUACGUAAUGUGAAUUGCAGAAUUCAGUGAAUCAUCGAAUCUUUGAACGCAUAUUGCGCUCUCUGGUAUUCCGGAGAGCAUGCUUGUUUGAGUAUCAGUAAACACCUCAACUUCCAUAUCUUUUUUGAAAUGGGAGUUGGACUUGAGUGAUCCCAACGCUUUUCCUCACCGAAAAGUGGCGGGUUACUUGAAAUGCAGGAGCAGCUGGACUUUUCUCUGAGCUAUAAGCAUAUCUAUUUAGUCUGCCUAAAAAACAGAUUAUUACCUUUGCUGCAGCUAACAUAAAGGAGAUUAGUUCUUGUGCUGACUGAUGCAGGAUUCACAAAGACAGGCUUCGGCCGACUUUGUAAACUCGAUCUCAAAUCAAGUAAGACUACCCGCUGAACUUAAGCAUAUCAAUAAGCGGAGGA
rnacentral:misc_RNA from 1 species